GAUGAACGCUGACGGCGUGCCUAAUACAUGCAAGUCGAGCGAAUGGAUUAAGAGCUUGCUCUUAUGAAGUUAGCGGCGGACGGGUGAGUAACACGUGGGUAACCUGCCCAUAAGACUGGGAUAACUCCGGGAAACCGGGGCUAAUACCGGAUAACAUUUUGAACCGCAUGGUUCGAAAUUGAAAGGCGGCUUCGGCUGUCACUUAUGGAUGGACCCGCGUCGCAUUAGCUAGUUGGUGAGGUAACGGCUCACCAAGGCAACGAUGCGUAGCCGACCUGAGGAGGUGAUCGGCCACACUGGGACUGAGACACGGCCCAGACUCCUACGGGAGGCAGCAGUAGGGAAUCUUCCGAAAUGGAGGAAAGUCUGACGGAGCAACGCCGCGUGAGUGAUGAAGGCUUUCGGGUCGUAAAACUCUGUUGUUAGGGAAGAGCAAGUGCUAGUUGAAUAAGCUGGCACCUUGACGGUACCUAACCAGAAAGCCACGGCUAACUACGUGCCAGCCGCCGCAGUAA
rnacentral:rRNA from 1 species